CGGGGAGUGGUGGAACGGUACCACGGGAGGCUCAUAACCUCCAAAAGCCGGUUCAAUUCCGGCCUCCCCAA
rnacentral:tRNA from 2 species